AGGAAAUUAAUGUGGAAGCUGUUUUGAAGGACAAGAGGCUGAGAACCAGCAAAAAGCAUUUUAGCUACGAAGCACCUGAUGAGCCAGUGGCUGAUGCACUGCGGAAUCUUGAGGUCAACUUCUUCAACAUUGUGGUUGACUCCACAAUAGCAUCCAUUGAUGAACGAUUUGAAACUCUGAACCAGGUGAAGACUAAAUAUGGAGUAGUGCUGAACUUCAGCACUGCAUGUCAGAUGUCCAGUGACUCCUUAAAGGCUCAGUGUAUGGAACUUGAGAAAACUCUGACCUUCAACCAAGACUGUGACAUCAGUGGAGUUGAUCUGGCAAACGAAAUCAAGAAUUUACCUGACCUACCAUCAGUUAAUAUGACUGCCUUUGAGCUGCUUUCUUUCCUUUGUGAGAAAAAUCUGGAGGAACUCUAUCCUAACCUUUGGAUAGCCCUGAGAAUUGCUGUCACUCUGCCUAUGACAGUUGCCUCAGCCGAGAGGAACUUCAGCAAGUUAAAAAUGAUCAAAAACUAUCUGAGAUCUUCCAUGUCCCAGGAACGUCUGAGUGGUUUGGCCAUCAUGAGCAUCAACCAUGAUGUGGGGAAGCAAAUAUCGAUGAUGACAUUAUUGAUGAUUUUGCAUCCAGAAAGUGCAGAAAAGGACACUUUUAAUGUAUGUCAUUCUCUCAGAACCAGCUGAACAUGGGACCGGGGUGAGAAAUCUUCAGAAUUGGUCGGGCAACCGCUGUGUCAUCUCGUGGCUUGCAGCAAAUGUCUUGUCAAUUCUCCGGCCGUAACUUCAGAAUAAACCUUCAGUGUUUGCCAUCAAAGUUCCAGCUCUCCCUGUGUCUCUCUGAGUUUUGUCUGUUAGAGCUAUAGAAGGGUUUAUGUUAUGUAGUAAUUCAAUAUUUGUUAGCUGUUUUUGUUUGUAUUAUAUAAAUCAUUAUUUAUCAUACUUACUUUAGUUUCAGUAAUUCUUUAUGCUUUUAUUUUGAAGGAGGUGUUGGGCACUGGGUUAGUUGGGCACCCUGUAAUUAGUGUAUUGGACACAGGUGGUGGUGGGAUUGUUACCAGAUAAGCAUACCUUUUUUUUAUUUUACCAAAAACCAGCAGGAGAGGCCACAGAAAAGAGAAAAACGAUAUGCUUGCCUAGACAUUGGACAUUAUUUUAACUGCAUAAGAUUCGCUUUCUGGUGCCCCAGCAGCAGAUCAGUUUGAAUUACGUUUAUUUUUUGAUUAGCCAUUACAAAGGCCAUAUUACUGCUGUUGAUAUACUAUGAUUUUUACUGUUUACUAAGUACAGGCAAAUACGGAGUACACAGUGUGUUACUGUACAUACUUUACCAAAAGCUGUUCAGGGCAAAUGUAGGUAGCUUUAAUACUUUUUACUGUAGCAUGAAUGUUGUUUACAGUGAGUGUGAGUGAUACCUAACAUUUUCAAAAUCUUGGCAAAGACUGUGUUGGUUUUACUGUAGUUAUGGAUUCACAUGCUUUGAACUGUCUUAUCUUCAGGAUUGUAAUGCCUCAUUAAAGAUCCUAUAGCUGUGACAUGUAAUAUGGAGCUUAAUUGUAUGCAUUGGAUUUCUGAAAACACAACCCCAAACACUUUGACCUGAACCCUGCCAGUGUUUAUUUCCCUCUGCAAAUAAAGCAUUGUUGUAUUUCUGUCCCUAUAACGUCAUUGAGUAUAUUUCUGUAAUAUCACUGUGUACGUAAGUGUGUAUAUAAAGUAUUGUCUUUGUGUGUGUGUUUGUCUUUUUGUAUGUAUUGGCAUGUGUGUGUUCUUCAGCAGCGGAGUGAUAGUGUUAUGAAUGUGUCAGUGUGUGUGCUGAAGCAUAAGUGUGGGGCAUGUGUUCAUGCAUGCAGUGAAUUAAUUUUGAGUGUGUGUGUGUUGAAGCGUACCCUGUCUUGAUUGUAUGUGUUUGUGAACUCAAAUGGAGCUGAAGUUCAUACAAACUCAAACAAGAAGAAACAACUUACAGACUGCUGGUGUUCAACCACUGCAUGGAAACUCUGAACAAUUUAAAUGUUUGAAUAAAUCAUAUAAAAGCUG